GACGAACGCUGGCGGCGUGCCUAAUACAUGCAAGUCGAACGCAGUGGGGACGGGUGAUUAACACGUGGGUAACCUCCCAUCAGAGGGGAUAACACUUGGAAACAGGUGCUAAACCGAUAAUGCUGGAUGGACCCGCGGUGCAUUAGCUCGUUGGUGAGGUAACGGCUCACCAAGGCCACGAUGCAUAGCCGACCUGAGAGGGGGACGGGCAACAUGGGGACUGAGAAACGGCCAGGACUCUUACGGGAGGAAGAAGUAGGGAAUCUUCGGCAAUGGAGGAAAGUGUGACCGGGAAACGCAGCUGGAGGGAGGAAGGUUUUCGGAUCGUAAAAAUCUGUUGUUAGAGAAGCGGUAUCGAAACAGAAAGCCACGGCUAACUACGUGCCAGCAGCCGCGGUAAUAC
rnacentral:rRNA from 1 species